rfam:Fervidicella metallireducens AeB contig00002, whole genome shotgun sequence.
UGUCAUGAAUCAUAGUAAGUCUUAUUUUUCGACUUUAAAAAAUCCUGUAAUUCAGCACAUGGACGUGCUGAGCCGAGGCCGGAGACACGGAUGUCGACUGCCGAGGGUAAGGUUUUUUAAACAAAGAAAAAUUUAGACUUACUUGAUGAAAUGACC